GUGGGGAAUAUUGGACAAUGGGCGAAAGCCUGAUCCAGCCAUGCCGCGUGUGUGAAGAAGGUCUUCGGAUUGUAAAGCACUUUAAGUUGGGAGGAAGGGUAGUAACCUAAUACGUUGCUACUUUGACGUUACCGACAGAAUAAGCACCGGCUAACUUCGUGCCAGCAGCCGCGGUAAUACGAAGGGUGCAAGCGUUAAUCGGAAUUACUGGGCGUAAAGCGCGCGUAGGUGGUUCAGUAAGUUGGAAGUGAAAUCCCCGGGCUCAACCUGGGAACUGCUUUCAAAACUGCUGAGCUAGAGUACGGUAGAGGGUGGUGGAAUUUCCUGUGUAGCGGUGAAAUGCGUAGAUAUAGGAAGGAACACCAGUGGCGAAGGCGACCACCUGGACUGAUACUGACACUGAGGUGCGAAAGCGUGGGGAGCAAAAGGGAUUAGAAACCCCGGUAGUCC
rnacentral:rRNA from 1 species